rnacentral:ribozyme from 1 species
GGUUGCAAGUUUGAGGCCAUAGCAGAAGCGUUCAGAGCAUGGCCCUGUCAGAUUCCAGCAAAUCUUUAAAUUCUGCU